GACGAACGCUGGCGGCGUGCUUAACACAUGCAAGUCGAACGGAAAGGCCCUGCUUUUGUGGGGUGCUCGAGUGGCGAACGGGUGAGUAACACGUGAGUAACCUGCCCUUUACUUUGGGAUAACUUCAUUAAACUGGGGCUAAUACCGGAUAUGAGCUCCUUCUGCAUGGUUUGUUUUGGAAAGUUUCGGCGUUUGGGGAUGGACUCGCGGUUUAUCAGCUUGUUGGUGGGGUAGUGGCUUACCAAGGCUUUGACGGGUAGCCAGCCUGAGAGGGUGACAGGCCACAUUGGGAUUGAGAAAGGGCCAGGACUCAUACGGGAGGAAGGAGUGGGGAAUAUAGCAAAAUGGGCGGAAGCAGUAUGCAGCAACGCCGCGUGGGAGAUGACGGCCUUCGGGGUGGAAACCGCUUGCGCCUGUGAAGAAGAGUGAGUGACGGUAAUGGGUAAAGAAGCAACGGCUAACUACGUG
rnacentral:rRNA from 1 species